AACCUCCUUCAGGGAGGGGAUUAGUGGCGAACGGGUGAGUAACACGUGGGCAAUCUGCCCUGCACUCUGGGACAAGCCCUGGAAACGGGGUCUAAUACCGGAUACUGACCCGCUUGGGCAUCCAAGCGGUUCGAAAGCUCCGGCGGUGCAGGAUGAGCCCGCGGCCUAUCAGCUUGUUGGUGAGGUAAUGGCUCACCAAGGCGACGACGGGUAGCCGGCCUGAGAGGGCGACCGGCCACACUGGGACUGAGACACGGCCCAGACUCCUACGGGAGGCAGCAGUGGGGAAUAUUGCACAAUGGGCGAAAGCCUGAUGCAGCGACGCCGCGUGAGGGAUGACGGCCUUCGGGUUGUAAACCUCUUUCAGCAGGGAAGAAGCGAAAGUGACGGUACCUGCAGAAGAAGCGCCGGCUAACUACGUGCCAGCAGCCGCGGUAAUACGUAGGGCGCGAGCGUUGUCCGGAAUUAUUGGGCGUAAAGAGCUCGUAGGCGGCUUGUCACGUCGGUUGUGAAAGCCCGGGGCUUAACCCCGGGUCUGCAGUCGAUACGGGCAGGCUAAAGUUCAGUASGGGAGAUCGGAAUUCCUGGUGUAAUGUGA
rnacentral:rRNA from 1 species